UACCUGAUUGAUUCUGUCAGCGCGAUAUGCUCAAGUAAAAGAUUAAGCCAUGCAUGCUUUGAUUCAUCAAUGAAAUUGCGUACGGCUCAUUAGAGCAGAUAUCACCUUAUUCGGAAUCCUAUAUGGAUAACUGCGGAAAUACUGGAGCUAAUACAUGCAACUAUACCCCAACGCAAGGCGGGGUGCAAUUAUUAGAACAGACCAAAC
rfam:Caenorhabditis brenneri strain PB2801 C_brenneri-6.0.1_Cont2004.1, whole genome shotgun sequence.